rnacentral:rRNA from 1 species
AACCGGGCGUUAAGUUGCAGGGUAUAGACCCGAAACCCGGUGAUCUAGCCAUGGGCAGGUUGAAGGUUGGGUAACACUAACUGGAGGACCGAACCGACUAAUGUUGAAAAAUUAGCGGAUGACCUGUGGCUGGGGGUGAAAGGCCAAUCAAACCGGGAGAUAGCUGGUUCUCCCCGAAAGCUAUUUAGGUAGCGCCUCGUGAAUUCAUCUCCGGGGGUAGAGCACUGUUUCGGCUAGGGGGCCAUCCCGGCUUACCAACCCGAUGCAAACUGCGAAUACCGGAGAAUGUUAUCACGGGAGACACACGGCGGGUGCUAACGUCCGUCGUGAAGAGGGAAACAACCCAGACCGCCAGCUAAGGUCCCAAAGUCAUGGUUAAGUGGGAAACGAUGUGGGAAGGCCCAGACAGCCAGGAUGUUGGCUUAGAAGCAGCCAUCAUUUAAAGAAAGCGUAAUAGCUCACUGGUCGAGUCGGCCUGCGCGGAAGAUGUAACGGGGCUAAACCAUGCACCGAAGCUGCGGCAGCGACGCUUAUGCGUUGUUGGGUAGGGGAGCG